CUUUCAAUAUUUUUAUGUUAUUCUAUACAUUUAGUUUUAUUCUACUGCUUUUGUUUGAUUGUCUUCUUCGCACUUAUCUCCUUCUUUAAUCUGCCAUCAUUAAUGGCACUCCAAUAUGCUUUUUGAGUUUCUCUCUCCUUUUUUUUCCCUUUCCCCAUCUUAAUUGACUGAUUUAGGGUAUUAUAAUCCUUAAUUUUUAUCAAAUUUUCUCUCUUCUGUUCUCGUUUGGGGAUAUCUUUUUUUUUUUUUUUUUUUUUUUAACAAUUGUGAAGUUUUAAUCCCGGAGUACCGUGAGCAUUGUACUCCGGGAGUACAAUAGAAAUUGCGGACAAACAAGGCUUGUGUUGCCAACAAAUGAAUCUGUAGUUCUUCUUCUUCCAAACGUCCUCUUGAUCUCCCACUUCCUGCUUUCAAAGGUUUAAAGGGUUCGGAAGCGUCAUCGUCGAUGGAGGAUAAGUCUAACCCACCUGAGGUUGGAUCCGCUGAAUCAAGGAAUCCACCUGAGGUUGGAUCCGUUGAAUCGCUGCUUAAUUUCGCCGGCUUGCCAUCCACGGUCACCACUUUGCACUAUCAAACUCCGACAGACCGAGGAAUGGAAGAAUAAAUAGUCGCUGAACGAGGGUGAAGAUUCUUGGAAAAGCUGAGUCCUUGAAUCCCAAAGGAAGUAUCAAGGACAGGAUUGCUGUUAAAAUCACAGGAGAGGUAAUUUAAGCUGAUAUCAUGCUGUUAUAUUGUGAUUCGUGUGGAUUUGAAUCCUGUAUUUUGAAAGUUCAAAUAUUGGCAAAAUCCAUGAGUAUCUCAAAAAUUAUGUGUGUACUCUACAUGCUAUUGCUGGGUUAAGAUUAAGUAUAAUCGCCCCCCUAUAUCCUUGUCUGGAUAACAGCAACCAUUUAAGUUUGCGUUUAGGCCUAAGAUUUAUAAGUUCCUAUAAUAGAUGAAGUAUCCUGCAACAUUAUUUACAUUACUUCAAUUAUUUUCAAUAGGUAACUGCAUUAGGUCGUGUGGUGAUAAGGUCAUAAGGAUACCUUAGCUUAAGUUAUUUGACCAACAACUAGAGCUUAUUUGGUUGUCUUUUCAUUGGGCUUUAUUGUCAUGAUUAAGAACAUUAGAUUUCAUAUUUCAUUUGUGCAGCUAGAAACCCUUGAAUUUUAUUACAUACUUCGUAUGUGUUUUUGGAGCUUCACCUGACACAUAAUAAUAUAAGAUGGUCAAAUGAGGUUUUCCUUAAGGUUUUCCCCCGCAUUUUUCCUUGUCAAGUUCUUAUAAUGAUCUUCCUCUGAGUAACAUGUUACGAAAAUACAUCACUAUUUUGAAGCUUCUAUACUCUCUAUCCUUGAUAAUAGUACACAUUUGAUAUGAGGUCACACAUUUGAUAUGAGGUCAAUUACCUUGAACUGGGUUAUUAUCCCGUAAGUAUCCAUCACUAAUUUGAGUUUUACAUUUCAACCAUUAAGGUAAUGUGGGUAGAUCCAAAAUUUAACGGUUUAAGUAGUUUGUGGCCUGGUAUGUUGAGAGGUGUGAAUUUGAAAUGUUCCGAUUGUUCCCCUGCUUGCCUAUCCUUUUGUGCUAUUUUAUUUUGUCAGCUUGUUUCGUCUUAUAUAGAAAUUCUCCAGAAUUUUUUCAUUCUUUUGGAGCUCUCAAGAAUGAUUCAACAUCUGAUCAUUUAUUAAUUUUUUCAUUAUAUGUGACACUUUCCCUGGCCAAGCUGCCUGUGUGAGAUUUUCUUCCCAGGGAUCUCCAGCUGCAUCUGCUGCUCCUGCUGAGGAAAACAAGGAAGCAACGGCUGAAGAUGAUGACGAUGAUAUGGAUCUCUUUGGUGAUGAAACCGAGGAAGAGAAGAAGGCUGCAGAUGAGAGAGAGACAGAUAAGAAGGCAUCUGAAAAGAAGAAAGAUACUAUUACAUAUUCCAUGACAUAUACAUACAGGAAGCUUCUGGGAAUUCUCUUCUAUUGGUGCCAUUGAAGGAAUCAACGCGAUCAAUAAGAAAGAACUCAUCACUCAGAGCAAGAGCUUGUAGAUUAAGACAAGGAUGACGAUAGUUGUGAUGGGGGUUACAUGGACAACGCGUUCAAGUGGGUCAUAAACAAUGGUGGUAUUGGUGGUGAAGCUAAUUACCCUUACAGUGGAAGUGGUGCUACCUGUACUACCAAGUACCAACAAGGUCCUACUCAGUUUUCUUCAUGUUCAUGAGAUGUUAAUGUCAAUGAUGUGAGUUUUUUGCUAGCAAGCUACAUUACUCAAACUUGGGUACCCAUGUCAGACAUGAGUAUCCAAGGGUUAGCUCGCUAUAUAAUUAGAAGUUUGUAGGAUAUUGGUCCCAAAUGAAAAAAGAGAAAAAUAUAGAGGGAUGGGGUCUAGAGUCUAAAGUAUAAGGUCUAAGGGAGAGUAGGAAGAGACAUGCCGGGGAAGAGAGUAGGUUUGGUGAACUGGUGCAGGGACCCAGACAGCCUUUCUUUGAUUGGGUUAUGCAGUGUGUAAAGCCAUUGAGCGAGGAAGAUAAGAAAUGGGUUAUGGUAAUUUCCCAAGCUACUUGGGGAGCUCGAAACCGUGGGGUUUUUUAGAAUGAUUGGACUGAUCCAAAGGAGAUUGUUCAAUUUAUAUGCUUGGUUUAAGCUGGUUUGGUUUGGUUUAAGAUGGCUACAAAAGGUUAAGCCUGUCAUCCAAGAAUGCAUUGAGAAGUACUCGAAUGAGAAGUAAAUGAGAAGUUAAAAGGUCCUUUUUCAUUGAGAAGUACCCAAGUGAAAACUUGGGUUAAGCCUGUAUAUUGUGGAGCUUAAGAAGUAAAUGAGAAGUUGAGAGGUUUUUUUUUUUUUUUUUGACAAAAUGAGAAGUAAAUGAGAAGUUGAGAGUGGAUUUUACAGCAGAAUCAAGAACAACAUGGGUACGGGAAACACCAUACUUGAAGAACUUAACAGGGGUGCCAGAAAACAGGAACUUUGAAUUAGUCUAUAUAUAUGCACGGUUUAAGCUGGUUUGGUUUACUUGCAGUGGAAAGUUUAAUUUGGUGAUGGGAGAUGAGAAAUCAACAAUAAUUGUGAUGUAGAAUAAUUAUUAAAUUAUGGGUAGAGAGAGAGCUUUUCAUACCAGGGGAGUAGUGAAUAUUGUUCGAUCUAUGUAAAUUUAGUUUAGCUUUCUUAAUUAAUUUAAUAAUUUUCUCAUAUGCACUAAAUUUUCUGCAAACAAAAGGGUAAAUUGCAUAAUGGAGCAUUAUCAGCCACAACUAAUCACCAUCAUGGAAGAGAAGAAGACAAGACUAAGCUGGAUUCUCAUUCAUACUGUUGUAUACUUUUAUAAUGCAUUUUAAUGAUUGAGAUUUUGUGUUAUUUCUUGUGCAAUGAAUUUGAGUUAAGGUGUCAUAACUAUGAUGAAAGCAUAUUAAUCUUGACCGAAGGGGACCAGUGUCUCUACUCUUACACCACAUGGAGGAGCUGCAUGUAGUGACAUGCAAGGGAUGAGGGAUGUUGUGAACGGUGGGAGUUCAUAGUAUUCUACCUAUUCAUAGAGUGAUCGUAUUUAUUCGUAUGAUAGAUACUGGAUAUGUACUCUCUUUUUAUUCUAUAUAUAGUUAAUAAAGAAGGGUGACUUUGGUUUCUUACA